rnacentral:rRNA from 1 species
AUUGAACGCUGGCGGCAGGCCUAACACAUGCAAGUCGAGCGUGCGGCGGAGAGUUGAGUAAUGUAUAGGAACUGCCCGUAAGCGAGGGAUAACUCCUGGAAACGGUAGCUAAUAACGCAUUAUAUCGGAUAACGCUUAUGGGAUUAGCUAGUCGGUGAGUGAAUGGCUCACCUAGGCGCCGAGCCCUAGCUGGACUGAGAGGAUGAUCAGCCACACGGGGACUGAGACACGGCCCAGACUCCUACGGAGGCAGCAGUGGGGAAUAUUGCACAAUGGGCGAAAGCCUGAUGCAGCCAUGCCGCGUGUAUGAAGAAGGCCCUAGGGUUGUAAAGUACUUUCAGUAGGGAAGCGUUACCGACAGAAGAAGCACCGGCUAACUCCGUGCCAGCAGCCGCGGUAAUUC